GGGUUGUGAGGUUAAGCGACUAAGCGUACACGGUGGAUGCCCUGGCAGUCAGAGGCGAUGAAGGGCGUGCUAAUCUGCGAUAAGCGCCGGUAAGGUGAUAUGAACCGUUAUAACCGGCGAUACCCGAAUGGGGAAACCCAGUGUGAUUCGUCACACUAUCAUUAACUGAAUCCAUAGGUUAAUGAGGCGAACCGGGGGAACUGAAACAUCUAAGUACCCCGAGGAAAAGAAAUCAACCGAGAUUCCCCCAGUAGCGGCGAGCGAACGGGGAGGAGCCCAGAGCCUGAAUCAGCAUGUGUGUUAGUGGAAGCGUCUGGAAAGGCGCGCGAUACAGGGUGACAGCCCCGUACACAAAAGCGCAUGUGCUGUGAGCUCGAUGAGUAGGGCGGGACACGUGGUAUCCUGUCUGAAUAUGGGGGGACCAUCCUCCAAGGCUAAAUACUCCUGACUGACCGAUAGUGAACCAGUACCGUGAGGGAAAGGCGAAAAGAACCCCGGCGAGGGGAGUGAAAAAGAACCUGAAACCGUGUACGUACAAGCAGUGGGAGCCCCACCACUAAGCCAGUGGUGAACUCCACAUACGCAUCCUUUGCUGAGGAUACGGUUAACGGAGCGAAAGCGAUGUUCAACCGCAAAACAAGCAGAGGGGGCUUAGUGGUGGGGUGACUGCGUACCUUUUGUAUAAUGGGUCAGCGACUUAUAUUCUGUAGCAAGGUUAACCGUAUAGGGGAGCCGGAGGGAAACCGAGUCUUAAC
rnacentral:rRNA from 1 species